rnacentral:lncRNA from 10 species
UUUAUUACAUAGUCAUGAUCUUAUUUAGCAUGCAGGGUAAAUCGCCUCAUUAGGAAUAUAAUGUGAAGGAGAUUCACAACUUUUCCGACAGGUUCAGAGAGGUCAACUAAGGAAAAGAAGGAGGCCAGUCAUGGACUCAGCAGCCAUGGGCCCAAAAUAGGCCUUAGGCAAUAACUACCCCACCUUCCAAUUCAGGACCAGUAAGAGAAAGCCAACUAUUUUCCCUAA